CAAUAGCGUAUAUUAAAGUUGUUGCAGUUAAAAAGCUCGUAGUUGGAUUUCUGAUCGAGACAUCAGGUCGGGUCCGAGAGGAUCAUGUACUUUGAUUUUGUUUUGAUCAUCCUUGGGGAGAGCAUUUCUGGCAUUCAGUUGUCGGGAUUGGGAUCCUCAUCGUUUACUGUGAAAAAAUUAGAGCGUUCAAAGCAGGCCUCGGCCUCUGAAUACAUUAGCAUGGAAUAAUAAGAUAGGACUUUGGUGGUCUAUUUUGUUGGUUUGCACGCCAAAGUAAUGAUUAAUAGGGAUAGUUGGGGGUAUUCGUAUUCAAUUGUCAGAGGUGAAAUUCUUGGAUUUAUGGAAGACGAACUACUGCGAAAGCAUUUACCAAGGAUGUUUUCAUUAA
rnacentral:rRNA from 1 species